AGCUCCAAUAGCGUAUAUUAAAGUUGUUGCGGUUAAAAAGCUCGUAGUUGGAUUUCUGUUGAGGGACGUCGGUCCGCACUAUGUGCGUGUAUCUGACUGUGCCUCGGCAUCCUCUCGAAUAUCGGUCUGCGCUUCAUUGCGUGGGUCGGACUUCGGGACUUUUACUUUGAGGAAAUUAGAGUGUUCACGGCAGGCAAGCGCCCUGAAUAUAUUAGCAUGGAAUAAUGAUAUAGGAUCUUGGUCCUAUUUUGUUGGUUUCUAGGGCUAAGAUAAUGAUUAAUAGGGACAAUUGGGGGCAUUCGUAUUAACGCGUCAGAGGUGGAAUUCUUGGAUUGCGUUACGACGAACUACUGCGAAAGCAUUUGCCAAGGAUGUUUUCAUUG
rnacentral:rRNA from 1 species